UCUGUGCAGUGACCAGCCAGUCCCCUGAGAACUUUCCCCUCCAGCACCAGGAAAAUGAGACUUUGGUUCCUUUUAGUUUGCAUUGCUGCGGCUUUGGAAGGGGCCCGCUCGCAGGUGGUUCUGACCCAGUCGGGGCCAGCGCUGAAGAAGCCCGGAGAGUCCCAUACACUGCAAUGUGCCACCAGCGGGUUCACUCUGAGCAGCACCGCCAUGAGCUGGAUCAGACAGGAGCCGGGGAAGGGGCUGGAGUGGCUGGUCAGCUACUAUGAUCCCUCCAUCAACAAUUACGCCUCCUCCAUCCAGGGCCGAUUCACAGCCUCCAAGGACAGCACCAACUUCUACCUGCAAAUGACAGCCUGAGAGCG